GAGCCUGAAUCAGUGUGUGUGUUAGUGGAAGCGUCUGGAAAGGCGCGCGAUACAGGGUGACAGCCCCGUACACAAAAAUGCACAUACUGUGAGCUCGAUGAGUAGGGCGGGACACGUGGUAUCCUGUCUGAAUAUGGGGGGACCAUCCUCCAAGGCUAAAUACUCCUGACUGACCGAUAGUGAACCAGUACCGUGAGGGAAAGGCGAAAAGAACCCCGGCGAGGGGAGUGAAAAAGAACCUGAAACCGUGUACGUACAAGCAGUGGGAGCCUCUUAAUGGGGUGACUGCGUACCUUUUGUAUAAUGGGUCAGCGACUUAUAUUCUGUAGCAAGGUUAACCGAAUAGGGGAGCCGAAGGGAAACCGAGUCUUAACUGGGCGUUAAGUUGCAGGGUAUAGACCCGAAACCCGGUGAUCUAGCCAUGGGCAGGUUGAAGGUUGGGUAACACUAACUGGAGGACCGAACCGACUAAUGUUGAAAAAUUAGCGGAUGACUUGUGGCUGGGGGUGAAAGGCCAAUCAAACCGGGAGAUAGCUGGUUCUCCCCGAAAGCUAUUUAGGUAGCGCCUCGUGAAUUCAUCUCCGGGGGUAGAGCACUGUUUCGGCAAGGGGGUCAUCCCGACUUACCAACCCGAUGCAAACUGCGAAUACCGGAGAAUGUUAUCACGGGAGACACACGGCGGGUGCUAACGUCCGUCGUGAAGAGGGAAACAACCCAGACCGCCAGCUAAGGUCCCAAAGUCAUGGUUAAGUGGGAAACGAUGUGGGAAGGCCCAGACAGCCAGGAUGUUGGCUUAGAAGCAGCCAUCAUUUAAAGAAAGCGUAAUAGCUCACUGGUCGAGUCGGCCUGCGCGGAAGAUGUAACGGGGCUAAACCAUGCACCGAAGCUGCGGCAGCGACACUAUGUGUUGUUGGGUAGGGGAGCGUUCUGUAAGCCUGUGAAGGUGUACUGUGAGGUAUGCUGGAGGUAUCAGAAGUGCGAAUGCUGACAUAAGUAACGAUAAAGCGGGUGAAAAGCCCGCUCGCCGGAAGACCAAGGGUUCCUGUCCAACGUUAAUCGGGGCAGGGUGAGUCGACCCCUAAGGCGAGGCCGAAAGGCGUAGUCGAUGGGAAACAGGUUAAUAUUCCUGUACUUGGUGUUACUGCGAAGGGGGGACGGAGAAGGCUAUGUUGGCCGGGCGACGGUUGUCCCGGUUUAAGCGUGUAGGCUGGUUUUCCAGGCAAAUCCGGAAAAUCAAGGCUGAGGCGUGAUGACGAGGCACUACGGUGCUGAAGCGACAAAUGCCCUGCUUCCAGGAAAAGCCUCUAAGCAUCAGGUAACAUCAAAUCGUACCCCAAACCGACACAGGUGGUCAGGUAGAGAAUACCAAGGCGCUUGAGAGAACUCGGGUGAAGGAACUAGGCAAAAUGGUGCCGUAACUUCGGGAGAAGGCACGCUGAUAUGUAGGUGAAGCGACUUGCUCGUGGAGCUGAAAUCAGUCGAAGAUACCAGCUGGCUGCAACUGUUUAUUAAAAACACAGCACUGUGCAAACACGAAAGUGGACGUAUACGGUGUGACGCCUGCCCGGUGCCGGAAGGUUAAUUGAUGGGGUUAGCGGUAACGCGAAGCUCUUGAUCGAAGCCCCGGUAAACGGCGGCCGUAACUAUAACGGUCCUAAGGUAGCGAAAUUCCUUGUCGGGUAAGUUCCGACCUGCACGAAUGGCGUAAUGAUGGCCAGGCUGUCUCCACCCGAGACUCAGUGAAAUUGAACUCGCUGUGAAGAUGCAGUGUACCCGCGGCAAGACGGAAAGACCCCGUGAACCUUUACUAUAGCUUGACACUGAACAUUGAGCCUUGAUGUGUAGGAUAGGUGGGAGGCUUUGAAGUGUGGACGCCAGUCUGCAUGGAGCCGACCUUGAAAUACCACCCUUUAAUGUUUGAUGUUCUAACGUGGGCCCCUUACCGGGGUUGCGGACAGUGUCUGGUGGGUAGUUUGACUGGGGCGGUCUCCUCCUAAAGAGUAACGGAGGAGCACGAAGGUUGGCUAAUCCUGGUCGGACAUCAGGAGGUUAGUGCAAUGGCAUAAGCCAGCUUGACUGCGAGCGUGACGGCGCGAGCAGGUGCGAAAGCAGGUCAUAGUGAUCCGGUGGUUCUGAAUGGAAGGGCCAUCGCUCAACGGAUAAAAGGUACUCCGGGGAUAACAGGCUGAUACCGCCCAAGAGUUCAUAUCGACGGCGGUGUUUGGCACCUCGAUGUCGGCUCAUCACAUCCUGGGGCUGAAGUAGGUCCCAAGGGUAUGGCUGUUCGCCAUUUAAAGUGGUACGCGAGCUGGGUUUAGAACGUCGUGAGACAGUUCGGUCCCUAUCUGCCGUGGGCGCUGGAGAACUGAGGGGGGCUGCUCCUAGUACGAGAGGACCGGAGUGGACGCAUCACUGGUGUUCGGGUUGUCAUGCCAAUGGCACUGCCCGGUAGCUAAAUGCGGAAGAGAUAAGUGCUGAAAGCAUCUAAGCACGAAACUUGCCCCGAGAUGAGUUCUCCCUGACUCCUUGAGAGUCCUGAAGGAACGUUGAAGACGACGACGUUGAUAGGCCGGGUGUGUAAGCGCAGCGAUGCGUUGAGCUAACCGGUACUAAUGAACCGUGAGGCUUAACCUU
rnacentral:rRNA from 1 species